rnacentral:rRNA from 1 species
UACGAAGGGGGCUAGCGUUGCUCGGAAUCACUGGGCGUAAAGCGCACGUAGGCGGCUUCUUAAGUCAGGGGUGAAAUCCUGGAGCUCAACUCCAGAACUGCCUUUGAUACUGAGGAGCUUGAGUCCGGGAGAGGUGAGUGGAACUGCGAGUGUAGAGGUGAAAUUCGUAGAUAUUCGCAAGAACACCAGUGGCGAAGGCGGCUCACCUGGCCCGGUACUGACGCUGAGGUGCGAAAGCGUGGGGAGCAAACAGG